CUGCAUGUUAAUCACAUUUAAUUGACAGUGCAGCAUUACCAGUGGGUGCAUGAUCUUUGCUCCCACUGGGAGCUCUCCUACGUGGGUGCACUGCAUAUCAUUUCAUCAACUGCCUGUGAAUGAGGGACUGUUCACCUGGUCAUGCUGUUCCUCUGCUCUUGCUGUUUAUUCUGGGAAGCAGAAGCCUCCCAAAUCGAUCUGGUAAGUGUAUCAAUGAGAUGAUUGUUUUCGGAUUGACUCCUCCCUGGCUUACCUACAAGGUUAUCUGUGAGUGCAUGCUUUAAAGCAACUGAUGAAACUAGUUGGUACUGGUAUGUUGAUCACCACUGUGGGACAUUUUUUACCAAAUAUGAUCAAUAAAUAAUGAAUCACCAAUAAAUUUAUGUUAAGGUGGGGCAGAGGAUGCACCCUGAUCAAAAAGAAGCCCUUUUCCAGCAUGUUCUCUCCUGCAAAGAGCCAUUGUCAACAGCCUCAAAAGGAAUAAAACCAUAAAACCGGUGCAUUCAAACCAGUGAACCUCCACUUCCUUUCCCAGUGUACACAAUACAAAGUCAAAUAAUUUAGAAGGGGCUUUAUUUAUUUAUUUUAAUGUUGACAUCUCCCUCAAAUUAAGGAAAAAUGAAAAAAAAAGGUCUUAAAGAGUAUGAAGGCCUCCAGGCCUUACUGUUCAGCGCUUCGGAUCCAGAGCUCACCGUCACAGGGGAGUCAUGGGGAAGUCUGGGUGGAAUUGUUAGGGUGUGGAUGUACCUGCUCAUUAGGAUUAAAGUGCCCUUGUGGUUCACGUUAACCCACUUUGGGAUGCAAACUGACAGAAGCAUCUUUGUGGGGGAUCCGUCCGUGUGGGGAGCCCGGUCGCUCCCCUGCCCUGCCAGGCCCGGAGCUCCCCCGUGGGAGCCUGAUGGUUCUUCUAUUUACAUCAACAGGCUUUAAGUUCCGCUGCUUUAAAUAUCAGGUUUAACUGGGGCUUGCCUGCAUAUCAAAGGCACCGUGGUAAUUUUUACGAGGGAAAGUGUGGAGGGAAAGUGUUCGCCUGGUGCUGUGCAGGCUCCUCCCUGCCCUCCGCGGUGCUGAGUCACUGCCCUUUCUCCCCCAGGAGCGCCCGCACUUUCCUGGUGCUGUGUUUGUGCAGGAUGGGGUCAGCACGCCCAGGCUGGGGGAGCCCCUGCAUAAACAAGAGCUAAAAAUGAACAAAGAGCCUUCCUGGUUCGCUGGUAUUUAUUUACACACUGCCGUGUGUGGCCAGCUCCAUUCUGGCACCUGGAUUGUGUGUGGACUGGGCUUGAGCUUUUCUGGAGCCAGCCUUCCCGCUGGUGCCUCGCUGUGCCUUCAGCCUCGCUCCGAUCUGCACAAGAUUUAUGGAUGGAUAUUAUAUAGAUUUAACACAAUAGCAUGGGUUUUAUUAUUUGCUGGAAAAUGUUAAUAAACCCCAAGUAUUACAGAUGCAUUUUAAUCCCUGAAGUGAUUUUUGAGUAGAAUGCAUGAAUUAUUAAUUGUUGUUAUUGUUAUUAUUGCAGUGCAUACGUACCUCACAGGGCAUUGUGAGGAUUAAUUAAUUCUUGUAAAGAUGUAAAAGGCCGUAUAGGUGUCAAGGGUUAUGACUAAAGUGCUUUGAAAAUGGAAACCACUCUGCAAGUGCCAAGUAUUAUUAUUUAUGGAGUCCAGGCAAUGUGCUUGGUGCUGUGCAAACACUGGGCCAGUUGUUGCAAAUAUUUGCUUAUAUGUGCUUGGUAGGCUGAGCACUCCCUGUUACAAGUCAUUUCAACUAUUUUAAGGAUGCGUCUUAAAAGUAUGGGUGUGAGAAGACUUUCCUGUCAUUGGGAUGACGGAGCCACUGGCCGUGAGCAGCUGUGUCACUGAAGAACUUCAGAAGAGUGCUUUUAUUCAAACACGGGGAUGAACCAAGACCUCAGAUCUGCUCCAGUUAUACAUCUUAAAGUUAGGGUAUUGUCCAAUCUUUCUUGCUACUUUGGGAAAUGUAACAAGAGUUAUUGUUUAGAAGUGGUUCUCCCAGGAGGCAAAGCCAAUUCCCUGAGCCCAGCUCGCUCACCAAACAAUCUGCUGUAAACCACAGCCUGCUCAACUGCCCCGUGUUACCCAACAUCCGUUCUUGGAAACCUCUGAAAACGAGAACCUCCUUCCCAUAUGCUCUGGAAGUGUCCCCUGUAGCUCAGAGUCCAGCUGCACAUUUGGGCAAGAGAACUGCAAAGGCUAAAGUUCAGCACAGAGAGUGAGAGGCCUUUGUGCAGUCCUGCAGGGUGUUCACCUUCAUGAAAAAAGGCAAACCAGAAUAAAACAGAGUGGGGACAACCAUUAAAGCAUAGAUCUGCCAGAAUGCACUUUGUAGAUCCUGCAGAGCAGAACUUCUCCUCGGGAAAUAGCCCAGUUGAGCACGUCAUCCUGCUAAAAAAGAGAGCCUGGCACCCCAGAGCUGCAACUGAACAUUUGGAGAACACCAGACCACGGAAACCUUCAGCCAGAUGACUUCAGCUCCGUGCCUUGUCGCUGCUCGGCAGAUGGAUGGGAAGACAGUGUUUGUAGUUCCUGAGGGCCAAACAACGCUCUCUUCAGGGAUUCUCCCUCCCCCGUUUCUCACACAAGCUUUCUGAACGUCACACCUCUCACUCCCAUUUCAUGGACUUCUCACAUAUCCUUCUUUGGGCCCCUGCUGUCCCCCAGCCCCCCAGAAGAGUUCCCUUCCCUCUUGCCUUAGGCUAUGUGCAUAUUCCCAUUCCCCCGCCUCCACACACUGUUACUGCUUAUCUUCUUUCACCUGGGAAAUAAAUCAAGAGUAUCAAGAGGUCAAACUCCAUUAGAAACAUCUAAAGAUCUAAGAUUAUAAUGCGUGAACGUGGUAAUGAGUGCCUUGCCACUUCUUCCCCUCUUAAAUAUUUAUCUUUACUUUCAGCAAAUUUUGGAGCUGGACUGGAUAUAGUCUUCAAAAUUAUAUAUGCCUCUUUACGUUCUAAAGCAGACAGCCUACACACCAUUUGUGAGAAGAGAGAGUUGUCCACUUGGGCCACCAAAACUACUACACAAAUAAAUGCUGGACACCAAGUGAUUUGCAAUUACAAAUAUGUUUCCUGGCUUUCUGGAGAGAUUUAGGUUUCCUUAUAUAAUUCUGGCCUCUUCAGGCAAAUGGUCUGAAGGGAUAGGGUUUUCUCAGAAUUAAGUAAUUUUGCAAUGCAAU